rnacentral:lncRNA from 1 species
GGAGGAUGAAGCCCUCUUUCUUGAGCGUUGCCUGCCCCCAUGGGAGCUCACACCUGCCCAGAAGGGGGAUGGACUGCCCCAUGCUCUCCUGACCCCACAAGCAGUUGCUUUAUGGUCCUAGAGACCAGGAGAGAAGCUGUGGGACAGGAAAGGAGCAAUAUGGACCCAGAUCUCCUGCCUGCUCACACAGGGUUGUGCUGCUAUCUGAUAGGUGGAGGCACAUCCCAUGGGACAACACACGGCUCUAUGACCCCGCAUCCAUUGCAGGGCAAGGACAGGCACCUACAUGCAGGGAAGAUUUCUGAAGUCUCUGCUUAACAGCCACUAAUGCAGCAAGUGCCAGCACUGGGAGGCUGAAGAUUGAAAAUAUCAGACCAUGAAAAAAGCAAGAUUCCCAACACAAGCAGUAAUUAGCAGUUGUCUCAGAGAGCUGCAGUUAUGCCCAUGAGGGCUGCAUCCAUGGCUGGACACAAGUGGCUGCAUCUUGUUCUAUGAUCAAUCACUUAGAGCCCAACCAUGACUUUGUAAGCGUAGGAACACCAAGUGAGAAGGACGAUACUCCA